rnacentral:rRNA from 1 species
UACGGAGGAUGCGAGCGUUAUCCGGAUUUAUUGGGUUUAAAGGGUGCGCAGGCGGCGUGUCAAGUCAGCGGUAAAAUGUCGGGGCUUAACCCCGGCCGGCCGUUGAAACUGGCGUGCUCGAGUUGGAGAGAAGUAUGCGGAAUUCGUGGUGUAGCGGUGAAAUGCAUAGAUAUCACGAAGAACCCCGAUUGCGAAGGCAGCAUACCGGCUCCACACUGACGCUGAGGCACGAAAGCGUGGGUAUCGAACAGG